rnacentral:rRNA from 1 species
GAUGAACGCUGGCGGCGUGCCUAACACAUGCAAGUCGAACGGAAAGACAAUGAGCUUGUGCCUUUGACGUUAGCGGCGGACGGGUGAGUAACAUGUGGAUAACCUACUUAUAUGUCUGGGAUAACUACGGGAAACCGGAGCUAAUACCGGAUAACAUAUUGAACCGCAGGGAUCAAUGGUGAAUGGCGGCUUUUCUGUAUGUUAUAGAUGGAUCCCCGCCGUAUUGGUUAGUUGGUAAGGUAACGGCCUACCAAGGGGACGAGUCGUUGCCGACCUUAGAGGGGGGUCGGCCCCCCUGGAAGUGGAACCGCGUCCAGGCUCCUACGGGAGGCAGCAGUAGGGAAUCGUCCGCAAUGGGCGAAAGCCUGACGCAGCAAGGCCGCGUGGGUGAUGAAGGUCUUCGGAUCGUAAAGCCCUGUUAUCGGGGAAGAACAGAUGUGGAAGUAACUGUGGACAUCUUGACGGUACCUGAUCAAAAAGCACCGGCUAACUACGUG